GAUAGAAACAGGAUUUUAACCCAUGUAUACAGGACUACAGCCCGCCACCUAAACUUUCAGGCCACUCUACCU
rnacentral:tRNA from 1 species